rnacentral:rRNA from 1 species
CGGAGGUGGCGAGCGUUACUCGGAAUCAUUGGGUGUAAAGGGCAGGUAGGCGGUCUGUUAAGUGAGGGGUGAAAUCUCCCGGCUCAAUCGGGAAACUGCCUUUCAAACUGGCAGACUUGAGUGUGAUAGGGGGAGGCGGAAUUAGCAGUGUAAGGGUGAAAUCUGUAGAUAUUGCUAAGAACACCAGCGGCGAAGGCGGCCUCCUGGAUCACAACUGACGCUGAUCUGCGAAAGCUAGGGGAGCAAACAGAAUUAGAUACUCUGGUAGUCCUAGCCGUAAACGAUGAGUACUAGGUGUUGGGCCGUAAGGCUCAGUGCCGCAGCUAACGCAUUAAGUACUCCACCUGAGGACUACGACGCAAGGUUA